rnacentral:rRNA from 1 species
UACGAAGGGGGCUAGCGUUGCUCGGAAUCACUGGGCGUAAAGGGUGCGUAGGCGGGUCUUUAAGUCAGGGGUGAAAUCCUGGAGCUCAACUCCAGAACUGCCUUUGAUACUGAAGAUCUUGAGUUCGGGAGAGGUGAGUGGAACUGCGAGUGUAGAGGUGAAAUUCGUAGAUAUUCGCAAGAACACCAGUGGCGAAGGCGGCUCACUGGGCCCGAUACUGACGCUGAGGCACGAAAGCGUGGGGAGCAAACAGG